UGCGGCUGGAUCCCCUCCUUUCUAGGGAUCCCGGAGCUCUUACUCCGGUGGCGCUCGGCUCGUUUUGAUGGCGUUUCGCCGUCCGACUACCGAGCUCGCCUAGAUCAACGUCGACCUCGACACGAUCGCCUCGCUGCUGAGUUUUGAGAGACCGGCCCAGCCGGUGUCUUGGUUGGACGGACCAUGCUCCGUGCGCACCUUGAAAACUCCAUAGCAGCAAGUGUGAGUUCUUCACGAUCAAGAGAUGAAGGGCACACGGUGGAUGCCUUGGCGCCAAGAGCCGAAGAAGGACGUGGGCGGCUGCGAUAAGCUCGGGUGAGGUGCUGACCAACCUUUGACCCCGAGAUUUCCGAAUGGGGAAACCCG
rnacentral:misc_RNA from 1 species